CAACUACAUUUAUUUCCACAAUUCCCCAUUUGAAUGGCCUUUUCUUUUUGCUUAGACAAUGCCUACACCUAGCCACAGCAGCUCCCUCAUACAGACUCCGCAAGCCAAGAGGCCGUGGAGGCAAAUGCAGGCAGCCAGCGCACCUCGAACAGCCACCUUGACUGUGGGUGUGUCACACUAGUUGCCAAGGAAACAUUUGAGGGAAAGCGACAGGCAAUGUGAACAGCCACUUCUCCAUGUAAACGAUACUCUUUCUCUCGGAUGACUCCUACGUUCGCCACGCCAGCACACUUGUGCACAAAGAUGCCGCGGAGGCACGUGCAGGUCAGAGGCAAGAAGCAGUGGCACUGGUGUCAACAUUCACCCAAUUUCUUUUUCUUACACUGAGGCAGCCAGCACACCUCGAACAGCCACCUUGACUGCGGGUGUGUCAGUAGAUUCCUGCUGUACAUAUGCUCAUAAUAAACUUCAGUAAACUUGAACUUGAUAACAAACUUGAAGGCAAAUGGGA
rnacentral:lncRNA from 1 species